rnacentral:lncRNA from 1 species
CUUGUAUUUCAUUCGGUAUCAUUUGUUCAAUCCUAGUGUCUUUCUUUUCCCAUCAAUAAACAAUUUAUAUUCCAUUUCAUAUAAUCAGUUACUUCCAGUUGAAGUAAUCUGGUUAAUAACUUUGCAAGGUAGUCAGUCAAGCAAUAAAAUCAUUAUUCAUCCUUAGAAAAUCCCAGCAAUCGCAGGGUCCUAUCAAAUUGGUAUCAGAGCCAUCGAUUCUUGGACAAAUGCAAACAAACUUCAGAAGCGAUUGGGAGGAGAGAUGGAGUUCCGUAUUCAAUCAGUUGGAGAAGAUGGUAUGCAACAGGAAGCCAAUCGAGACAAUGCUUCAGGGCUAGAUUCAUACGACCGACUCAAUACAUCGAUAUUCUAUGGCUAAAACUCAAAUGAGUGGAUGUCGGAGGCGGAGAAGAUUUUUUCUAAAAAUUGGUUGUCGGAAGUGGAGAAAACAGAGGUUGCUGUAGCUUAUUUUGACUGGCAAAUAUGGUAUGAGCAGUUAGAUCAAUUACAACCGGUGCGUACAUGGGAUGAAUUGAAGGUGUUGGUGAUGGCUCGAUUUCAUGAGAAACAUAUCUUCGUUGGUGAACUUUCAAACUGGAAUCAGGGGGAUAAGUUGAACUGGGAGACCGCACAAGAAGAACAGCGCGGUAAAUUGCACGUGUCUCCAUCCCCGUCACCGGUGGAGGAGAAAUUCCAAUGCACGAAAGAGGAGGGGCAAGCAGCAAGCUUGCUUGAUGCUACUAUUAAUUUUGAAAUUCCGCCCAAAUAUGAGAAAAGUGGAGCAAGUAUAGACGGUUGGAACCACCAUGUUGGAACCACCGUGUGGUAGGAACAGGGAAGAUGCAGACGCGAAGCCCGAGACUGGACAAAUUAUUGGAGAAUUUAUCGGCACCAUUGUUGGCGAGAUCAGAGGAGAUUCUGGAAGGAAAGGGCGACAAUAGGUGCAAUUCACUAAUACGAGCUGAAGUCCCAAUGCUUAUCCCUCAAGGUUUGGGCCAGAACAGUGAGUUGGCCCACAGGGUUGAAGAUUGGCAAGUAAGGAAUCAAGCCCAUCUACUUUAUGGCCCAUCUAAAGCUAAAAUUAAUACCGGGAAAAUUACCUGGAAGCCUAGAUUUAAAAACAAGUUUUCAUAAAUAAAGAGGUUUAAGUUUAAUUUCAUAAUUCAGGUGGUAAUUAAUUAUUAAAUUAAUGUUAGAUUAAAUAAAUGUAUUCACCCAACACGCCACACCCAAAUUACCCAAUCUCUCUCUUGUCCCCCCCACCCCCCUAUCUCUCUCUCUCUCUCGUAGUUCGCUGACUCCGACGAAUACCUCACGGCGACUUCACCUGAAGACAUAGCAACGCUAAUCGCCGCCUCACAGCUAUGGUUUGCAUCUCCACUCACGAUCGGGGUUGUUGAAGGGCUUGAAAAUUUUGGGGAGGUGGUGAAACCCUAAUCAUCUUCUCUCUCUACAUUCUCUCUAUCACAAACUACCACCGGCAACGCUCAAGAUGUCGCCACCACCGGCAACGCUCACGGUGUCGCCACCGCUGGUAUGUGAUUUUGGGUGGUUGCGGUGCCUUCGUCGCUGGUGUGUAGAGCGUUUAUACGGUGGUGUCUAGAUUGAGAUUUGCAGUUUGUUGCAGUUAACUUGAUUUUUGCAUCAUAUUUUUGCAACUCGCUGGAAAGAUGUCAAGUUGUGCUAAAAAAAAAAAAGGUUGUUCUUGUUGUAUUAG